CCGUAGCCCAAGAGAUCGGGAUAACACCUGGAAACAGAUGCUAAUACCGGAUAACAACAGAUGAUGCCUAUCAACUGUUUAAAAGAUGGUUCUGCUAUCACUCUUGGAUGGACCUGCGGUGCAUUAGCUAGUUGGUAGGGUAACGGCCUACCAAGGCGAUGAUGCAUAGCCGAGUUGAGAGACUGAUCGGCCACAUUGGGACUGAGACACGGCCCAAACUCCUACGGGAGGCAGCAGUA
rnacentral:rRNA from 1 species